UACGGAGGGUGCAAGCGUUAAUCGGAAUUACUGGGCGUAAAGCGCGCGUAGGCGGUUGGAUAAGCGAGAUGUGAAAGCCCUGGGCUUAACCUGGGAAUGGCAUUUCGAACUGUCUGGCUAGAGUGUGGUAGAGGGUAGUGGAAUUUCCAGUGUAGCGGUGAAAUGCGUAGAUAUUGGAAAGAACACCAGUGGCGAAGGCGGCUACCUGGACCAACACUGACGCUGAGGCGCGAAAGCGUGGGGAGCAAACAGG
rnacentral:misc_RNA from 1 species